GAAACCGAGAGGAGGGGACGUGGUGUCAGGUUCUGUGUAAGCCCGUUGUCCUGCCCGUGUUAUCAUGUGACGGUGACUUCUGACCGAACCGAACCAUAACAAAUAUUCACAAUGGGUUAAAAUGAAGUAAAUUUGGGGUUUGUGUUGUGCGCAUGCGCAACGUAUGCGCAGAAACAACGGGUAGGAUGGAUUGUGAGGUAGGAUGGAUUCCCGGAACACCUGGGCUGUGUCCCUUUUGACAGUUCACUCUUCGGCCGCUCCCUUCUGCCGUAUUUUGCGGCAAAAUGAUCCACACCAACCGCCGCGCUAUGGAUUGUGGGAUAUAUGGGGCCACGAAGCGUGCACCGGACUACGCUUGAUAUUUGGGGAAAUCGACGGCGCAUUUGGAGUAUGCAUUUGAAGUGCACUUCGAAUUGGGACAGCCGUCGUCGCGUGGCGGUGACGUAAUCGCACUUAAAAUGCGUACUUCAAGCGUGCAUACCCUGAAUUGGGACACAGCUCUGGUCUCAGGUACGCGCAGGUGCGUUCCCCACCUCAGUGAGGCUCGCAGGUGGAAGCUGCGGCUUCAGGCAAAACCACACCCAUCACGGCGGUGAUGUCACACUGUUUAAACCUGAGGAGCUUCACAAAUCAACAUUAAUCCUCAGACCUGCAGCAGCCGUGAGAGGAGCGACACACAGCAUUCAGUCACAGACCAACGUUUUCCAUCAUGUCCCUCUCAUUUCAUCAUUUAUUGAUCCGCUCGACGCUGCAAACAUCUGCACAGAUGUGAGCCACUCCUCCGCUGGACCAUCAGAGCGCUGGAGACACGGCGAGGAAUCUCUCAGCGAUUAGAAAUCAGUCCUGCGGCUCAGUGCAGAUUCAUAUCAGCUGGUUCAGACCCAACUGAAAUGUGCGUUAUUGCCGCGUGUCCCACAGGGUGAAACCGUGAGCUCUCUCCAGAUCUUCAAACUUUCUUGUUUCAAACAGUGAGCGUGUGGGGCCACAGUUCAUCAUCACAGACCAUCAGGUGCUCCUCACACACAGAGGAGGACAGAAACACCUGGACCAGCAGGUGUGACUGUCUGAAGUAAUGCACUCAAGCAGCACGGCUGUACGCAUGCUUACCUCCACGACUCCAUCACUGAAGACAAAGCCAAUCAGCUGAGCUGAAUCCACCUGACACAAAGAACAAAGGGCAUCUGUGAACAUCCAAAGAUGGAGCUGUGACUGUUUUGACUUCUCACACUCCAGUUCGUGCUCGUCUUCAUCAGCUGUGUCACACAGGAACAGAGCAGGAAAAACAGAAAGAAUCUGCAGUUUAAAGAAAACAGAAUGGCACACAGACACCACACUGACAUCCUGACCCGGCAUUUGUCAGAGCUGGAAACCAUGAUGGAUGAUGGACUGGUCCUUGCUCUGUUGGGCUGCAGGCACCUUAGGCGUGCACCAGUCUGGAGGCUCUCUGAGCCCCUCAGUGAUGUCCCUGGCUAACAUCCUCUUUGCCUCCAAUUUGACUUUGUGUAGGAGGAGAAAUGUUACGAUCCGUGCUUUGUUUCCAUUCACUGAGUCCAGGAGGUGCUGUCCAGAGAUUCCUCCCUCUGAGCUGGAGUCUGGGUUUCCUGCACCUGCUCUCCAUCUGUUGAAAUUUAAGAAUCAGUGCUC
ensembl:lncRNA